UACGUAGGGAGCAAGCGUUGUCCGGAAUCAUUGGGCGUAAAGCGCGCGUAGGCGGCCCCGUAAGUCCGCUGUGAAAGUCAAAGGCUCAACCUUUGAAAGCCGGUGGAUACUGUGGGGCUAGAGUCCGGAAGAGGCGAGUGGAAUUCCUGGUGUAGCGGUGGAAUGCGCAGAUAUCAGGAGGAACACCAAUAGACGAAGGCAGCUCGCUGGGACGGUACUGACGCUAAGGCGCGAAAGCGUGGGGAGCGAACAGG
rnacentral:rRNA from 1 species